CUUGUUUAUUCAACGAGUGACGAGGAUGGAGCGACGCGUCAGCGCUGGCAGCGCGUGCUGCUCGAACGCGCACCUUUCAAUCCCUGAUCAUUCGCGAGAGAAUGAUGUCGAUGACAAUGCGUUCAUGGCACUUUGAUUGGUCUUCGUGGAACUGUUAAUGAGCGCCAAUGUAGCGUUCUUGUUUCCCGUCCCGGCGAAGAACGCGGACGGGAACGUUUCCGUUGGCUCGCGAGGAAUUGCUUGACGAUGAAUAAACGCGAACCGCGAGUGUCGUCCCGUCGGGAAUUAUUAUAGCCGAGUCGACGAGCAAUUAGGGAUGACUCAUCAUCGCGGCGAGCAAUUUAAAUAACGUCUCUCGAUAAACAAGAUCUCAAAGAGCAUCGCCGCCGACGCGAGGUCGAACCUUCUCGUCAUUCGUAUCGAUUGUCGCUAUCGCUCAGCUGAUUACGCGACAUACACUUGCGAGGUCGUCGUGGCUGCGUUCCGAUAUUCACUGCCAGCACUGAAGAUCUAUAGUAUACGUGACACAAACUAUGUAUUCUCAGUAUUGGCGGUGAACAUCGAAAGGCAGCUCGUCUCGUAUAAGUGUUACCAUGGGCCGCCCGUUACACGCGCGUAUAGGUUAUGUUCGCGACCUGGUUCUCGGUGAGAAGGACGGAGCGAGGCGACUGUCAUAUUACGGACCUCGAUGACCAUCCGUAACGUCUUCGUGUCACGACCGUUAUCUCGAUUGUUGUUAUAUCCGUUCACUUGAUUAUAAUAGCUUAAUUUCGUAACAGUAUGUGCGAUAACAUUCGUUGCUCCUAUUGUGGCCGCGCUCGUAACGUAUCCCAAUGGGGGCAAGGUGUGAGUGUGUGUGAAAGACUCUGAGCUGAGAGUCGAGGAAGACCGAUGAGUGGCUUCGUGAUCAAUGACACGAACCGCAGUUAUCACGCAUACGGCACUAUUGAAAGGUACCAACGUCCUGAGGAGAGACGCAACAUGCUGACCCAACAAUUAAGUAACCGGAGGCUGUUGGUCGACUUCCUCGCGCUAAUGUUCGGCCUGGGUGCUUGGAUCGGCGUGAACGGCAUCUACGUACAACUGCCUCUCAUAGUGCACACUGCCCCGGAAGGAUGGAGUCUGCCCGCACAUAUGGUCAUGCUGGUGCAGAUAGCAAACUUGGGACCGAUAUUGUAUACCUUGUACAUAAGAUACUCAGCUUGGGUGUGCGACAAAUACAUCAUCUACGUGCUGCUGGCUGCUGCAUCGUGCGCCACGAUUGCUUUGAGUUUCCUAUAUGGUUAUACCUCGAACGUGUUUGGUAACAACCACUCAACCGCCCUGCUGUCACUGAUGUUCAUAACAGCCCUGGUCGGAUGCACGAGCUCUGUGCUCUUCAUGCCAUACAUGAGGAACUAUCGUGAGAUUUACCUGGUGUCUUACCUGGUCGGAGAAGGACUGAGCGGAUUCGUGCCGAGCGCGGUCGCGCUGAUUCAAGGCGUGGGCCACAAUCCGCGGUGCAUCAAUGUCACUAAAUCAGGCUCCGACCAUCUGGAGUUUAUAGUUGCUCCGUCCGACCCGCGAUUCUCAUCCCAGAUCUUCUUCGUCUUCGUCGGUACUCUCCUGUGUCUGAGCUUCCUCUCGUUCUUGGGCCUGAACGUGCUGCCUGUUGCGAUCGGCGAGAGGGUGAAGCUUCCGAGCAGUAUGGAGACCUUGCCGACCGACACGACGGCACCGCCGAGCUACAAGACUAAUUCCGGCUGGAAGAUGCCGAAGGACGUGUACUAUUACUUACUAGUUAUGAUGGCUAUGGUCUGCUUCCUCGGGAACGGCACUUUACCGAGCAUACAGUCGUACUCGUGUCUACCAUACGGCAGCGUCGCUUAUCACCUGACAGUCACGCUCGCCGCCAUAGCUGGCCCGUUGGCCAUGAGCUUGGGUUUCUUCAUCAAAACACCGGCGGUCAACCUGCUCAGUAUUUUCAUGGCGGUUGUCCUGGUGCUGUCGGGCUUCAUCUGUUACUUGGCCGCGAAGUCGCCCCAUCCUCCUUUACAAAAUUCAUGGCUGGGCGAGCUAAUGGUGGUCGUUCUGUGGAUAAUCGUGUGCGGCCUGAUAGGAUUCAUCAAGAUGGGCAUCACGACGUUGUACAGGCCCGACCCUGGGAGAGGUCUUUAUUAUACCGGCGUCGCGACGCAAAUCGGAUCCUUGAUAGGCGCGAUCACCACGUUCGUUCUGGUCAAUCACGCCAAGGUAUUCAAGUCUUACUCUCCAUGUGACAAUCUCACGGCGAAUUAACGUUUCUUGUACUUAGUCGUAGUCAUAGUCCAUUCGCACUGAUAACGUCGUUGGGAAGCACCUCAAAAACGUCAUGCUCAGCGAUAAGCUGUUCUAGCGACUAGCCGUUUGAUAAUACGCUCUAGUUCCUACUAUCAAAAUUCCUCGUGUUUAUAGCGGUAAAGUGUGUCACUUUGUACUCCUCACCUUUAUUCUUAGCAGUAUAGAAAAACAUUAGCCGUAGUCCAUCAGAUUGCUGAUUCCUUUUAGUUCGAGAAAUAGGGAACUAUUUAUCAUAUUUUUUAUUAACGUUUCAUGCCAAUCCCCCCACAGGACAAAGGAUAUAAUGAUGCACUUUUUUAUUAAUCUCUCGCAUCGUGUUACGCAGAUUCGAAACAUUAAUAUACGUGUCAAGCGUUGCUUUGAAACUUUGAAUUAUGUCUCUAGCAAUCUCGAUCGUAGAACCGCCGCGUUUUGAUCGCUCAUGUAGAAGUCGCGACACCGGCAACCCGCGUGAAAUCUGCCUUUCGCGGCCUCGUGGGUCGUUAGGUUAGUCUUACGUGCAGAAAUAUCAGUCUUCUCUCACGAUCGCGUAGACGUUCGACUUUACGCGGCGAGAUUUGAUCUAGCGGAUUAGGAAGCGGUCGGUAAAAGGAGCUGUACUUCUUUUCUUUUCUCAACUCGUCCAGACCAGCAAGCCGCUUUACGGCUCUCCCGACGCUGCUCUGAACGACCCCGUGCAUGGAAACUUAUCACUUGAACUUGACACACUGUAUCUGUGAUAUUUUUCGAAUACUUCAGCAUCACGAAAACGUCAGUAUUGAUGCGAGCGGUGGCUCGACCGAUGCGAUCAAAGCGCUGAUGACGAUUGUUUCGUAAUUAUCGCGCGAUCAGCCGCCGUAGCCAGAUCGUAGUUAUCAGGUCAAGUUAUUAUGAUCGAUAAUAAUACAGAUGAGGGAGAACCCGCCAAGUAAGCAGCACUUUGAGCGCGUCGGAAGUAGCGGUGCGGUCAUCCAUCUUUCCGCGAUCUCUCAUUCAGCUUACAAUGCGUAACCGCACUUGAAUCGACACCGAUGGAGCGUUCGUCGAAAAUACGCCGCUACUCGUCUGAAUGUCUCGCUUCGGAAGAUUAAAAAGCAAUCGCGUACAAUGACGAAAUCUCCGUGAAUACACGGCGAUGGCGCGACUACGUCUUCCUCUCAGCAGGUCACGCGAGCUUAACGAAUUGUCUGCUUUAGGCUUAUCGAUAACGCGCAAGCUCUCCAUCUUUACGACGGAAUGAGCCAAUUUCUUGAUGAGAGACACCAUUUUAUGAUUCCACCGUUUAUUUCCGGUGUCGCUGUUCAUUGUCGCUCCGGAUGGUUGCUUCAGCUCCGUUGACGUUUCACCUUGAUGACGCUUCCAUCGCGUUCUAUUUCGUCAGGGAGGAUUUAAGAGGCGCGCCAGCAGAGCAGAGGUAGUAACGUUGAUAUAAAGUGUCGGGGAGCGCACAGAAUGCUCCGUCACUUUUAAUCCCGAUGUAAUUAAGUUAGUUUGGCGCGUUCGACUUGAGGAAUUUUCAGGCGAAUGUUCGCAAAUUCUUAACGGAUGAACGAAAGUCUAGUGGUAUACGGUAAACGAAAGAAAAAAAUGUACUUCAAGGAGAUGAGGUGUGUGUCUUUAGAAGAAGAGUAGAAAAAUGUAGAUCACCGAGGUAUUAGCUUCAAUUAAGCUGAAAAGACAUGCGUAUAUAUAUUUUCCACCUAAUAAAUUGAGGAGAUAUAUGUAUAUCUGAAUCUAUAGAACGGAAGAAUAUAUUUUAUACAAACAGUAUCGGUGUACGUGAUGUAGCUUACAUGCUUUUCUCGUUACCAGGUCUGUAAAUAUGAAACCGGAAUUUGCCCAUAGAUGGCCCUAGCUGCCAAUGUAUUGCCAAUAGUUACCGUCAAACCGCGUCAUUGGCGCCAUUUCCAUUUGUUGACAUCUGACAAAGAUUUUCAACUCGC
rnacentral:misc_RNA from 1 species